CCUACCAAUAGAAGUGCUGCUGGUGCUGGUGCUGUGUGCAUGUACGUCAGUAGGUGGCAGAGAGGAGAGAGGCUAUGUCCAAGCUCCACGUUCUGACCUAUGAACAUUUGCAUAAUUAAAAAUAACCUAACAAU
ensembl:snoRNA